rnacentral:misc_RNA from 1 species
ACAAGGUUUCCGUAGGUGAACCUGCGGAAGGAUCAUUUAAUAAAUUUUUUUUUGAAAUAAAAAAAAAAUAAUAAUCAUCCUACCUUUGUGAAUUUGUUUUGUUGAAUAAUUUUUUAAAAUUAUUUAUUGUCUAUCCAAGUUGGAAAGUUGUAAAAAGACUCGAAGACUGGAGCGGCAUAAAUAAAUUUAAAGACUUUUUCUAAAAUUAAACUUUUUGUAUUCAUUUGUCUAAAAUAAUUUUUAUAAUAUAUAAAAACAACUUUUGACAAUGGAUCUCUUGGUUCUCGCAACGAUGAAGAACGCAGCAAAAUGCGAUAAGUAAUGUGAAUUGCAGAAUACGUGAAUCAUCGAAUCUUCGAACGCAUAUUGCACUUUUUAGUUUACUAAAAAGUAUGUCUGUUUGAGUAUCAGUAAAAUAUUCUCAUAAAAUUUUUUAAUUUUAUGGUUAUGAGUGUUUUACAACGAUAAACAAGUUGUUUCACUUUAAAUUGAAUUUUUUUGAAGAAAUUCUUUAAUUCAAAUUAAAUUUGGAUAAAAUUUUCCCGUAAAAAGGAAUAACUAUACAAGUUUAAUAAGAAUUAGUGAUUUCUUUUAUGAAAAGGAAAUUUAUUAAAUAACUUGAUCUCAAAUCAGAUAAGAGUACCCGCUGAACUUAAGCAUAUCAAUAAGCGGAGGAAAAGAAACUAACAAGGAUUCCCCUAGUAACGGCGAGUGAAGCGGGAAGAGCUCAAAUUUGAAAUCUUAAAGGGUUUCCCUUUACGAAUUGUAGUUUAAAGAAGUGUUUUCUGUUGAGGUUUUGGUAAAAGUUCAUUGGAAUAGGACAUCAUAGAGGGUGAGAAUCCCGUAUUUGACCUUUACUUUCAACUUUGUGAUACACUUUCAAAGAGUCGGAUUGUUUGGGAAUGCAGUCCAAAAUGGGUGGUAAAUUUCAUCUAAAGCUAAAUAUUGGCGAGAGACCGAUAGCGAGCAAGUACCGUGAGGGAAAGAUGAAAAGAACUUUGAAAAGAGAGUUAAACAGUACGUGAAAUUGUCAAAAGGGAAGCGUUUGACACCAGUGUUGUUUUUCUGAAAAUCAAUUAAAGAACUGUUUAUGCUAAGUUGUUUAGACUUUAUCAGCUAACUGUUUAGUUUUGAGCUUUUCUUUAAUGCACUUUUCAGUUAACAAGUCAACAUCAAUUUCUUUGCUGUAAAAAAGCUUGAGGAAGGUGGCUUGAGAUUCGUCUUAAGUGUUUAUAGCCUCUUGCCUAUGCAGUCGGAGAGAUUGAGGUCUGCAGCGUAGAUCCUUCGGGGCUAAAUGCAUUUGUGCUAAGUUAUAGCAUUUUAUAGACAACUUGUUGACUAUGAUUUGUCUUGUAGCUUACUCGCUUAUGUUAUUUUACCUACGCUUAGGAUGUUGAC